rnacentral:rRNA from 1 species
CCUACGGGGGGCAGCAGUGAGGAAUAUUGGUCAAUGGACGAGAGUCUGAACCAGCCAAGUAGCGUGAAGGAUGACUGCCCUAUGGGUUGUAAACUUCUUUUAUAUGGGAAUAAAAUGUUCCACGUGUGGGAUUUUGUAUGUACCAUAUGAAUAAGGAUCGGCUAACUCCGUGCCAGCAGCCGCGGUAAUACGGAGGAUCCGAGCGUUAUCCGGAUUUAUUGGGUUUAAAGGGAGCGUAGGUGGAUUGUUAAGUCAGUUGUGAAAGUUUGCGGCUCAACCGUAAAAUUGCAGUUGAAACUGGCAGUCUUGAGUACAGUAGAGGUGGGCGGAAUUCGUGGUGUAGCGGUGAAAUGCUUAGAUAUCACGCAGAACUCCGAUUGCGAAGGCAGUUCACUGGACUGCAACUGACACUGAGGCUCGAAAGUGUGGGUAUCAAACAGGAUUAGAUACCCUAGUAGUC